UGCAAAAUUUUUUUGGAUUAUGCUUUUAGAAGAAUAGGAGAAUUGUAUCAAAUAUGAUGUCCAUAUGUCAAAUGUUAUAACACAACAUUAGGAACACGCAAGACAGUGGAGACACAUUUGAAAGUAUAUGGAAUAAUUUAAAAUUAUACCUUCUGGUACCACCAUGGAGAAGUUUUGGGUGAGCCAAUUCGCAAUGUGAAGAUAAAGAUAAUAAUGAAGUGGAAGAGUGCGAGGAUGAGGAUGAAAUACAUGAAAUUUGAGAGUUUUUUUUUUCCUUUUUUAAAUAUGAAACCAUCAAAACCGAAAAUGUGGUGACAUCUACUUUGAAAGCUACUACCAAAUAUGCAUUUGUUGCACCAGGUGCUAUAGGGAAGGGACGAGGUAGAGGACUUAACUCUAUUUGCUCUUUAUGUAUAUCUGGAAGUGAGGUUGGAUCUUUCCUUCAGAGUGGUAUUUGUGUAGUCAAAGUAUGCCACCACUUUCAAACACUAGGAAAAUAGAUUCUACCAUGUCUAUUACUCAAGGAAUGCAAGAUGCCAUUCAAACUUCUCUAUCUACUGAUCAAGUUAUGCAGCACAACCAAUCAUUCCAUUUCAGAAAAGAAAAAAGAAAAAAAAGUUAUGCAGUACAACCAAUCAUUUGAAACAGGUGCUAUAGCGAAAGGACGAGGCUGAGGUCUUAGAUCUAUGUGCUUUUUGGGGGUGUCUUGAAAUAAGGUGGGAUCCUUACAUAAGAGUGCUUUUUAUUCUAGUCAAGGUAUGCCAACACUUUCUAAUAUUACAAGAUCAAAUUCUACAAUGUCUUAUGCUUAAGAAAUGCGAACAACGAAUAAAAACUCAUUGGUUCUUGGGGAAGGACAUAUACAAACUGAUAAUCCAUUUUCUCCAUCUAUUGAUCAAGUUAUGCAAUACACCCAAAUAGUUGAAACAAGUAUGAUUUCAAAUCUAUUGUGUUAAUUUUUAGAACUUAAAUAUAAUGUUAAUUUUAAAUAUAUGAAAUGUUGAAGUGCUAAUUCUAACAAUCAAAUAAAAAUGUUGAAGCGCAGAUUUACUUGUGUACUUGCUGUUAUGUGUUUAACAUUCUGUUAGCUGAUUUUUGGAGAUUUUGUGCUUGUUGAAAUUUUAUUUUGAAUGGAGAUGUGCUGCUAAAAUUGUCUGGUAGCUGGAAUCUUAUUUUAUCUUGCAACCGUGCACUGGACAGUUUUUAGAUUUUUUGUUAGUUCUCUUCUUCUCUAGCUGGCAGACUUAGACAUUUUAUUGAGGCAAACAAUGCUCUCUCAUACUUUUUUCUUUUGUAAAUUGCCUCUCUACAACUUCAUAAAAAAAAUGCUCUUAGCAGCAGGACUAAAAAUCUUAUAUUUGAGCUUUCAUUUGAUAGCAUGAGCAGUCACAAGGUUGCCAUAAUCAAUUGAAUUGGUGUUAAAACCUUCUACUCUUCAAUCUUUACUUAUCAAUCUUCUUUAACUUGUUAAAUUUGAAACUGAAAAGCCUAUGCAAAUCGGUCUCAAAAGUUGGCUGCUGCUACAAUUUUAAUAGUAUAGAGCCACUUGAGAUAACAAGAAAAAAUGAACAUAUUAUAGAGGAUACUUUUAGUAAGAAGCUGAAACAGAGCACAAGGAAGGAUAAAUUACUGUAUGAGGUGAAGAACCCGC